GCCCCGGCUAACUCUGUGCCAGGCAGCCGCGGUAAUACAGAGGGGCAAGCGUUGUUCGGAAUUACUGGGCGUAAAGGGCGCGUAGGCGGCCUGCUAAGUCGAACGUGAAAUCCCUGGGCUCAACCCAGGAACUGCGUCCGAUACUGGUUGGCUUGAAUCCGGGAGAGGGAUGUGGAAUUCCAGGUGUAGCGGUGAAAUGCGUAGAUAUCUGGAGGAACACCGGUGGCGAAGGCGACAUCCUGGACCGGCAUUGACGCUGAGGCGCGAAAGCCAGGGGAGCAAACGGGAUUAGAUACCCCGGUAGUCCUGGCCCUAAACGAUGAAUGCUUGGUGUGGUGGGUAUCGAUCCCUACCGUGCCGAAGCUAACGCAUUAAGCAUUCCGCCUGGGGAGUACGGUCGCA
rnacentral:rRNA from 1 species